UUCUUGCCAUGAGGCUGACUGUGCAGGGCACACCUGUGGAUGGAGGUCAGAGUUUUUCCAGCUUUGGUAUGGAAACCCAAUGUUGUGGUCCGUUAAAAUUAACGCUUUCAAGUCAGAUGAGUUUCAAAAGAAUAAUGGCAUGAGCAGCUGGAACAGAAAGGAACAUGGCUUUCUUUUUACAUCACCAAUACUGGAAGUUACAAAAAGUGAAUGUACCAUCAGAUCAAACACAAAAUAACUGAAGAGUGUUGCGGGCAAUGGAAGGAUCUUUACCUGUGAGGGAAAGCGCAACAACAUGAAGAUAGAAGAGAUUUGUCCAGUGAGUUCAGGCAAAUCUGAGAGACCCUCGGAGGUGAGCGGACCCCCACUGAAAAGGAAUCUCAGCUAUGAGGCUGGAGACGUGCUGAAAGCCUCCUGUUAGUGCUCUGCAGAGCCCAGUAUGUAUUUCCAUCCCCACCUUUGGACUUCAUUUAUAUCUGGAGACUUGGUCGGCACACUUUGACUGGCUGCCAGGCUCACCUCAGACUCCACGCCUCCGAGCGAGCGGAGCCAAGUUUAAGCUGGCCAAGGGCCUCAGGUAUGCUGCUGGCCCUGCUGAAUACACCACGUAUUGUGUUGCCCCUCUCUCACCACAUUUUUUUUUUUAAAGUUAGCUAUUUGCUUAAAAAAAUGUGAGGCACAAAAACAGACUGUAAUUAAAUUUGUAAUUUUUCGUCUGGUCUUUAUAACAUAGAUUCAUUCAGGGUCACAGGAACAUUGGCUAUUUGUCAGAGAAGCCACUUAAACCACCACCUCUCGUCUCGGCCUCUCGUCUUUUCUACCUGGUAUCACACACACCUCAUAGCCCCUGAAGCCUGCGCCGUAAGCAAACAUCCUGUACCUUUAUUGGGCUUUUAGUGGCCCUCCUGCAGUCUGACAAUGCAGGAUUAGGGCCGUGGGGGAAACUGAGCAGGGGAGAUGAGAGGGUAUCAAGAGCUAAGAAAGAGUGGAAGCGAGGGGGAGAGAGGGCCCUCCUCCCAUCCCAGCUCCUAGACUGAGGGCCCUUAGAAGGGCUCUUAUCUAGCAGUCAGGGUACUUUACUGAGAUAAACAAUUACUUCCUUUUUGCCUGACCCUCAGAAGUAGGGGUGGGAGACUGUCUGCACCUCUCCUACUCUUUGUUAUGGCCUCUUGCUGUAAUUGACCACUUCAAAUGCUUUUUCUCUGCUUCUGCUUUUUUUUUCUUUUUUGUUUUUCCUCUGUCUU